CGUUAGUCCAAGAUGAAAGCGGACAAGUACAUUACUGUGGGAGGCAAAGGCCAGAAGGACCAUCUUUCACAGGCAGAAACGUCAGCAGGCAAGUUGCUGAAAGCUGCUGAGAUAAAGGAAGACACUAGCAUUCUUGUGCAUAUUCGAGACAAAGACUGUGUCUCUGGAGGUGCGAUACCACAAGUCCUGUUAUAGACAGUACACCAAAUUCUUGACAAAGUCUAGUGCAUCAGUUACUGUGACCUCAGAAGAACAAAAUGAGCCAACCUUCGAUGCCAGCUACAAGAUCUUCUGUGACAGGAUCAUCCCCCAUAGAAUAAUUGUAAACCAAGAGGUGUUGACAAUGACUCAGCUAAGAAGGAUCUUUUUAAAUCUGGUGAAAAAACAUGAAGAUCUUGAUGCUUCAAACUACAGGCAGGAUAAAUUGAAGAGGAGGUUGGCCCAUGAUUUCCCCCAGCUGGUGUUUCACUCCCCCAAGAAGCGCAACAUAAGUGAGAUGGUUUUAGUUGAGACAUUGUCUGCAGAUAAGCUGAUAGACAGGCUACCUCAUCCAUCAGGUACGGAAACAACAGAGUCAACUGAGGUAACUAGCGAAAGUGACUGUGAAAACAGGGCUAGUGCAAAAGCUGGUCCACAAAGACCAAGUUCAAUGGCCUCCAUCAAUACUGCGGAGGACACGAGGACACUUUACAGUGCGGCAUUAAUAUUAAAGAUGCUUCUGUGUGACUCUCCCGGUAUGAAAUGCUCGUGGCCACCCACAUCAGAUGACCUAAAUGUGAGCUAGGCAAAAUCUGUCCUUCCAAUUGAACUGUACAAUCUGAUUUCCUGGAUUAUUGGUGCAACUGAGGAACCAACACUGGCCCAUUAUGUUGAUAUUCUAGAUGAUUUGAACCUAAAAGUGAUAUCUAUCUGUCAAGACAUUGUGUAUCUUGCAUCUAAGGGUCGGAGGCAGACCCCUAAGUGAUUAG